UACUAUACAAAUCAUAACUUUAUGAACAAUCAGCAACACAUAACAUAUCAUAGAUUCAUAUCCAUUAACAAAAAACCAAAUCAUAACCGUUUCUAAUUUCACCAGCCUACUAGUAUCCAUGGGGGUUCAUAGGGAUAUCCCUACUACACGUGAACCCUUUCCUUUAACAAUCUUAAUUACAGGACCGUCCUCAUUCCCCGUCCGGUAUGAGCGCCAAGACAUUAAAUCUCAAUACCCUGUCCGGUAUGAGGGUGAAGCGGGCCGUCCCCAUACCCCAUUCGGUAUGAGCGCCAAAUUACCAAGUCUCCAUACUUCGUCCAGUAUGAGACAACGUUCACGGUAGGGUUCCCCAUGUACCUGAUCCGUCCACCAUCUCCCAGGAUAUCUAGUAAGGCUAUCAUUCCAUCUGUUUAUUUAAUCACACCGCUUUUCUAUUUUCCUUUAGUCUCCAUUACUAAAUCAAACAUAAUCACAUAAACAAAUAAACAUGCUCCAGUAAUACAAUCAUGUCUCAAAUUUCAAAUCAAAUAAUGGUCCGGUAAGGCAGUAAUACAUGCAUUUAAACCAUAAAAUAGAUAAAUCAGAUACUAUCAUGCUUUUAUAUUGUAAAAUAAAUCGACAGAGAACAAUGGCCAAUUCGUACUCCAUUAGCAAUCCGUAAUUAAUUAUGCACAUCUAUUUAAUUUGUACAAAAUACCGUAUUAUUAUUUAUUUAAACUUCAAUUCUAUGAUAGGGAAUAUGGUGAAAAAUCCUUACUUGAUUUGAUGCCAAAAAGCUAAACGGUUUACUAUGCCUACGGGCAGUCCCUAGGUUCCUUGAAAUUUUUUUUGGGAACUGAAACGCACUUUUAAUACC
rnacentral:lncRNA from 1 species